rnacentral:rRNA from 1 species
AUUGAACGCUGGCGGCAGGCCUAACACAUGCAAGUCGAACGAGUGGCGGACGGGUGAGUAAUGUCUGGGAAACUGCCCGAUGGAGGGGGAUAACUACUGGAAACGGUAGCUAAUACCGCAUACCAUCGGAUGUGCCCAGAUGGGAUUAGAUAGUAGGUGGGGUAACGGCUCACCUAGGCGAAGAUCCCUAGCUGGUCUGAGAGGAUGACCAGCAACACGGGAACUGAGCCACGGUCCAGACUCCUACGUCGGGCAGCAGUGGGGAAUAUUGCAAAAUGGGCGCAAGCCUGAUGCAGCCAUGCCGCGUGUAUGAAGAAGGCCUUCGGGUUGUAAAGUACUUUCAGCGGGGAGGCGUUACCCGCAGAAGAAGCAGCGGCUAACUCCGUGCCAGCAGCCGCGGUAAUAC